CUGUCUUGGAACAGAUCACCACUGCAAGAGGGGAAGUUGCUACUGUGAUGAAUUCUGCCAUGUGGUACCAGACUGCUACCCAGACCACAGUGUCCUCUGCAACCCUCCUUCUCAGAUGACCAAGAUGGUGCUGCAGAUGGUGCUGAGGAUGGAGAACCCACCAAGCCCCGCUAGGAGCCACCUAGACUGGAUGUAGAGCAUGAAGGAAGGCAAGAUUUCCUGGGUCCGUGAUGAUGGAAGGCUGACAACUCUUUUAUGGAGUUUGAGCUUGCUCCCAGCAGGGAAGACAAGUUCGAGUUUUUUUCCUGCUUCAAGGAUGGUAGAGAGCAGUCUUCAGCCUGAGACCCAUCCCUAGGCCCCAGCACCCGCAGAGCAGACACUGCGAUGACAACGGACGACACAGAAGUGCCCGCUAUGACUCCAGCACCGGGCCACGCCGCUCUGGAAACUCAAACGCUGAGCGCUGAGACCUCUUCUAGGGCCUCAACCCCAGUCGGCCCCAUUCCAGAAGCAGAGACCAGGGGAGCCAAGAGAAUUUCCCCUGCAAGAGAGACCAGGAGUUUCACAAAAACAUCUCCCAACUUCGUGGUGCUGAUCACCACCUCUGUGGAGACAUCAGCCGCCAGUGGCAGCCCCGAGGGAGCUGGAAUGACCACAGUUCAGACCAUCACAGGCAGUGAUCCCGAGGAAGCCAUCUU
rnacentral:lncRNA from 1 species